AGUGAACGCUGGCGGUAGGCCUAAUACAUGCAAGUCGAACGGCAGCACAGGAGAGCUUGCUCUCUGGGUGGCGAGUGGCGGACGGGUGAGGAAUACAUCGGAAUCUACUUUUUCGUGGGGGAUAACGUAGGGAAACUUACGCUAAUACCGCAUACGACCUACGGGUGAAAGCAGGGGACCUUCGGGCCUUGCGCGAUUGAAUGAGCCGAUGUCGGAUUAGCUAGUUGGCGGGGUAAAGGCCCACCAAGGCGACGAUCCGUAGCUGGUCUGAGAGGAUGAUCAGCCACACUGGAACUGAGACACGGUCCAGACUCCUACGGGAGGCAGCAGAGGGGAAUAUUGGACAAUGGGCGCAAGCCUGAUCCGGCCAUACCGCGUGGGUGAAGAAGGCCUUCGGGUUGUAAAGCCCUUUUGUUGGGAAAGAAAUCCAGCUGGCUAAUACCCGGUUGGGAUGACGGUACCCAAAGAAUAAGCACCGGCUAACUUCGUGCCAGCCGCCGCCGUAA
rnacentral:rRNA from 1 species